UACAGAGGAUGCAAGCGUUAUCCGGAAUGAUUGGGCGUAAAGCGUCUGUAGGUGGCUUUUUAAGUCCGCCGUCAAAUCCCAGGGCUCAACUCUGGACAGGCGGUGGAAACUACCAAGCUGGAGUACGGUAGGGGCAGAGGGAAUUUCCGGUGGAGUGGUGAAAUGCGUAGAGAUCGGAAGGAACGCCCGUGGCGAAAGCGAGGUCCUGGACGCCUACUGACGCUGAGACGCGAAAGCCAGGGGAGCGAACGGG
rnacentral:rRNA from 1 species